CCCACCUCCUGGACAGCAUCCAUGUUGAAGCUGACCGGAGCUCGCCGCGAACGGUUCGUGGCGAACCGUGGCGAGCCGUUCGCAGGAAGUUCGCAAACGGUUCGCGACAUCUCUAUCUAGGAUUUGUAAAAUGUCUCUGUUUUGUAUCAUGAGCUCAUUCGUGUCUAGUUAUUGAUUCAGACAUCUUGUUGUGCUACUGGUAACAUUUUAUUUUAUGUUUGACAGAGCAAAUGUUCUAGGUAUUCUGAUUUGGCUAAUAGCUAGUUUAGUGUUUUCGGUGUGUUUUAGUAAGCCAAGAGAGGUCAUUCUUUCUUGAUUCUUAGAAAAAGCGUUUCGAGGCAAGGAGUAACGUAGCAAAUACAAUAUUAUACAUAAUAUAAUUUGGAUCAGACAUGUUGGCAGGAAAAUUCGGUUGGACUUUUUCAGAAUGUCUGAUGCUCAUUUGCAUGGCGGAGUGAUUUAACUGAAUAUAGUCAAUGGAAAUAUUUUCAGACAUUCCAAAAAGGUGCAAUAAUGGACCAAUCAGUUUACUGCAAAAUAUAUACAUAGCCACCAUUUGGUUCAAAUAUCAAAUGAUAAAAAGUUACCAGUGACUUAACCCUCAAAAUACAUGCAGCAAAACUAUAUAGGAAAAUUAUAUAGGUACAUUCAGUAGACGCAAAACAAUCCACCUUAGUGAAUAUGUACACUUAGCUGUUCUAAUGCUGGAGUAGUAUGUUCAAGGUAAUAGCAAGCAUACCCAGACAGUCUCAGAGCUAUUCACGUGUUUAUUUGUAUCUCAAGCAUGACACCUCAAUAAUAAGGCAGUGACUUUCCUUAAGAUGUUUCCUCCAUGGCAUAAGUAAUAAAAAAAGCCAUGUGUAGGUACUUGACAAAGAGCUUUUCCCUUGAUGUCAUAAAAUGAGCUAUAAUUUGACACAACCUAUCUAACCAGAAACAUUUCUUACAGCACACUUUAGGCAACAAGUUGACAUAUUGUGAAUAUUUUCUCUGUAAAUGAAGAACAACUUAUUAUUAUUGUAUAUUCUUUAAAGUGUAUAUAUUCACAGUGCUGGAUUGUUCUGUGUCU